rnacentral:rRNA from 1 species
CCUACGGGUGGCAGCAGUGGGGAAUAUUGCGCAAUGGGCGAAAGCCUGACGCAGCGACGCCGCGUGAGGGAUGAAGGUCUUCGGAUCGUAAACCUCUGUCAGCAGGGAAGAACAGUCACUUUGCUAAUCAGCAGUGAAUUGACGGUACCUUCACAGGAAGCACCGGCUAACUCCGUGCCAGCAGCCGCGGUAAUACGGCGGGUGCGAGCGUUAAUCGGAAUUACUGGGAGUAACGGGCUCGUAGGCGGUAUGUCAAGUCAAGGGUGAAAUCCCCGCGCUCAACGUGGGAACUGCCUUUGAAACUGGCAAACUGGAGUGUGGGAGAGGAUAGUGGAAUUCCAGGUGUAGGAGUGAAA